rnacentral:rRNA from 1 species
UAGGGAAUCUUCCACAAUGGACGCAAGUCUGAUGGAGCAACGCCGCGUGAGUGAAGAAGGUUUUCGGAUCGUAAAGCUCUGUUGUUGGUGAAGAAGGAUAGAGGCAGUAACUGGUCUUUAUUUGACGGUAAUCAACCAGAAAGUCACGGCUAACUACGUGCCAGCAGCCGCGGUAAUACGUAGGUGGCAAGCGUUGUCCGGAUUUAUUGGGCGUAAAGCGAGCGCAGGCGGAAUGAUAAGUCUGAUGUGAAAGCCCACGGCUCAACCGUGGAACUGCGUCGGAAACUGUCAUUCUUGAGUGCAGAAGAGGAGGGUGGAAUUCCAUGUGUGGCGGUGGAAUGCGUAGAGAUAUGGGAGAGCACCAGUGGCGAAGGCGGCUCUCUGGUCUGCAACAGACGCUGAGGCUCGAAAGCAUGGGUAGCGAACAGG